UGUAUUCCAAGGAGGACAUAUUUGUCCUCUUCGACAGUAAAGGAUUAAGACCCCUGUACUCCCAAAGCAAACCUCGUCUUUAAUUUUCAGGGAGAGUGAUCAAUACUAUCCCUAUUACUACUACUAUUAUGACUAUUUCCAGGUUAAAAGUGACUACCUGGAGGAUGAAAGCAAGGCGGCAGAAGGCAUGGAUUUCGACACAGCCAUCCAGCUCACUUGCAUCGAAAUCAAGCGAGUCUUUAAGCGGAUGAACGGAUGCGCGAUGGACAAGAAGUCAAAUCUUGAGCAGCCGGAGAAGGAAGUCGGUCUACAUGAAUUCCUACCGGCCUACAUCAUCAACACCACCAAACAGAAAACGUUACGUAAGGCUUUGCAGGGAAACUUUAAGAAAUUCUCGGCGUUCUUCGAUUACGAAUCUCACUUCAAGUACCUCGAGAUUUUGGGAAAAGUUGGAAAGUUUGACAUCGAAAACUUCCGCUGUGCACUCGGCUGUGGUUGGUCUAUUCCUGUCACUCUGCUUGUCGGCCCAAGUGUUGGUAUUUCCUACUGGACAGAUUCUGCCUCUGCCGUAAGUACCACUACUACUACUACUGUCACUACUACUACUACUACUACUACUACUACUACUACUAC